rnacentral:lncRNA from 1 species
CUUCUCUAGUGACACUGGUCUCAUGAUCAGUGGUCAAAGUGCUAUGCUCAGAAGGCUUCAGACGCUUCCUACUGUCUACUAGACCCUUCAGUGAGGAAGGCUGGUACUGAAGAUCUAGAAUGCACCUUGAGAAUCCCUGCCUUAUAGGAUCCUGGUUGGAUUCAGAAGAGGAUAUGAAACCAUGCCAGAGAUCGCUGGAGUCUUUUGAAAUCCAUCUUGGUAUGCAGUGCAAGACGGUCUGCAGCAGCAAAGGCCAUACAAGGGACAGUUCAGCCAGAGGCAAGAAACAGCUCACCAAAAUGUCAAAUGGAAGCCUGGGUCAAUGAAAUUUAUUUGCAUUUUGAUGACUACACAACUUGGGUUCCUGCGAUGUGACGUCCAUCAUCAGUAUUCAUAGUGUCAAAGCAUGUAUUCUGUGGUCAUCAUUUUCAAAAGUGACUUUUCAAUAAAAGAAGGGAGCACAUUGCCUCUCUAAUUCAACUUGCUUCUUAGAAGUGAAAAAGAUGACAUGCAACUUCUAAUAAUCUUGUUCCGUAUAAUAUUAUUAGUCUACCACACAAAUUUAAACCAUUUUGUUUGUAGAACAGCGAGUGCCACACAAGAACCAGGUAAAUACAUUUAGAUAUUGUCAGAUCAAGAUAGCAAGUGAUGUAG